rnacentral:rRNA from 1 species
GUGCCAGCCGCCGCGGUAAUACGGAGGGGGCUAGCGUUGUUCGGAAUCACUGGGCCUAAAGGGCGUGUAGGCGGCGGAUUUAGUUAGGCGUGAAAGCCCCGGGCUCAACCUGGGAACUGCGCUUAAUACUGAUUUGCUAGAGUCCGGGAGAGGCUGGUGGAAUAUCCAGUGUAGAGGUGAAAUUCGUAGAUAUUGGAUGGAACACCGAUGGCGAAGGCAGCCAGCUGGACCGGUACUGACGCUGAGGCGCGAAAGCGUGGGGAGCAAACAGGAUUAGAUACCCUGGUAGUCC